UUCAGCCUUCUUUCUAUCUUCUACACACACUCUCUCGAAAUAAUAUAGAUCCUUAUUGUUUUAUUAUUUACACUAUAAAUAAUAAGGCUCUGUCCUGUUUUAAGUGUUUUAACUCCCGAUCACCGCUACCCUUUCCUAUUGAUCUGAGCCUCAUAACAUAUGUCAGGGCUCUGCCCGACAAAGUUGUUGGGAUUCGAUCUCGGGACUUCGGGACAAGGUUGAAUUAGGAGUACUAUACUUACCACGAGUGCAUUAUAUAUUUAAUAGCUUAGGAAUUAUACCCAAAAUUUAUAUCAGGAGAUUUUCUAGCUGAACCCUAAAGUUACACAGUGGGUCCAUUUUCUUUUCUCACUGUUUUAUUCUCUUUUUGUGAUUUACCCAAAACUAUUAUUUAUUAUUCUAUUUUGUAAACAACUCUCACCAAAACUACUAUUUAUUAUUUUAUUUACCCAAUAGGAAACCCAAAUUGAGACACCCAAGUAAUUCUGCACAACUCCUAAAAUUUUCAUAACAAUCAGAAUCAGGAUCAGGACCCCUAAAACUCAGGGGGGGUAUUCCCUACUCGACGAUUAUCCACAUAUCUUGCUGUCAAAUUCGAAAAUAUCAAUUCCGUCAACUCAGCAAGCCUACUAGGACACGAACCUACCCUACCCUAAAAUGUUACCCGUCGCGCCACGCGACAGGACCAGGUGUCCCUGUCGCGACACGCGAGGAAGUCGAAAUUUCAGUAUAAAUAGGGGGGUUGGCACUUGAAUUCUGGUGUUAGUUCGACAAGCAAAUUCCAAAUAGACACUGAGAUAUACGUAAAUCACUACAAAACACACGCUAGCUCGAAUUCUGCUACGAUACAGGGUAUUAACUUGAUCGCUGCUACGAUUUAAUGUCCGAUCGAUUGGAACUAUCCAAUGGAUGUUUAAGUGCUGCUCAAAUUGGGUUUAUACUUUGUCAUUCGUCGUGAUUCCAAACAGGAUGUUUGAGUGUCACCCGAAUUCGGGCUAUACUCUGUCAUUUGUUGUGAAUCCGCUGGAUAUUUAAGUAUCGCACUUUGUCAUUUGUUGUGAGGGUUUAAUCUCGUGAGCUUAUCGUAAAUGCUGUAUUAGUUAUUUACCUAGUUUCGUGUGCAUUAUAGCUUAAAUUAGGUUAUCAGACUUAUCAGUAGAAUAAACACUACCCCAUAUACUUACAAUCAAAGUAGAUGCUAAUUCCCAGAAGAGCUUGAAUCAGGAAACUUGUUAAGUCAAUACUGCAUGCUUAUAAUGUAAUUACAGUAGAUUGGAGUAAGAAUUGGAUCCGGCACUGAAGGACUUCAAGAAGUGGCUUAUUUUAUUAAUUAAAUCAAAUUAAGAAAUAUUGUUUUAUGUAAUUGGGUUUAUCCCUUAUUAAAGCUACCUUUGCAAAACAUGGAUUUAUUCCAUCUAUUUAAUAAAUAAAAUCCGGUGUU
rnacentral:lncRNA from 1 species